rnacentral:tRNA from 1 species
AUCAAAAUUGCUCAGUUGGGAGAGCGUUACACUAUGGAUUAAAAAGUCCCUGGUUUGAUCCGCGUUCCGACA